CCUACGGGCGGCAGCAGUGGGGAAUAUUGCACAAUGGGCGCAAGCCUGAUGCAGCCAAGCCGCGUGUGUGAAGAAGGCCUUCGGGUUGUAAAGCACUUCAGCGGGGAGGAAGGCGUUAAGGUUAAUAACCUUGGCGAUUGACGUUACCCGCAGAAGAAGCACCGGCUAACUCCGUGCCAGCAGCCGCGGUAAUACGGAGGGUGCAAGCGUUAAUCGGAAUUACUGGGCGUAAAGCGCACGCAGGCGGUCUGUCAAGUCGGAUGUGAAAUCCCCGGGCUCAACCUGGGAACGGCAUUCGAAACUGGCAGGCUAGAGUCUUGUAGAGGGGGGUAGAAUUCCAGGUGUAGCGGUGAAAUGCGUAGAGAUCUGGAGGAAUACCGGUGGCGAAGGCGGCCCCCUGGACAAAGACUGACGCUCAGGUGCGAAAGCGUGGGGAGCAAACAGGAUUAGAUACCCGUGUAGUC
rnacentral:rRNA from 1 species